rnacentral:lncRNA from 10 species
UAAUCAGUGCAAAGAAAAGCAUCUACAGUGUUAUCUUAUAGAAGCAAAGGAUACCUAAUUAAUGCCCAGUCUCCAAAGAAAACUGCCACCCUUCUGGCUGCUUUCCCAGGGAAGAUGUUGGUGCCACAGAGCAGCCAUGUGCAGAGAUGCACUGCUUGGGUACAAGAGGAAGAAUAUUCCUGGCUUAUAGCCUCAGCCCUCAGUAGCCACUCGGUGGGGACAGGCAGAGCCACUGCUUACAGGUAUGCUUAGAAAAAGCAUGGGAUUGCUUAUUUCCAUCCAGGGGAAGAGGAAGAUGUCCCCUGCCUACGAAAGACAGCAGAAGAUAGAAAACAAAAGCAAAAUGGCUUUUUGUGAUUACACCUCUUGAGUCCUGCAUGCUCAAUAUACCACUUGUGUAUACACA